rnacentral:rRNA from 1 species
AUGGGCAUGGCUACAAUUCUUGAUCCUCGGUACAAAAAUGAGAUGUUGCUUGUUUGCUUUGCAAUGUUACAUGGUGUCAACGUUUCAUCUGCAGAAUGUGAGGGGUAUGUGGCAGAAUUAGUUGCCAAGUUUUGCAAAUUGUUAGAGGAAUACAGUCUUGAGAAGGAUGAUGAUGAAUCAGCCCCUUCUUCCUCUUUUUCUUCUAUGCAAGCCCCAGCUCUUAUGUCACUCUUCAAUGAGCGUGUUGCUCAGAAAAGGCCAACCGCUUCUAGGAUGAAAUCUGAGUUAGACCGCUACUUAGAAGAUGAGCUAGUUCUAGUUUCACAAGAUAAAUUUAAUGUGCUAGAUUGGUGGAAAGUGGCUGGAACACGCUAUCCUACUUUGCGGAUGCUAGCCCGUGACAUCUUUGCUAUUCCAGUCAGCAUCGUUGCUUCAGAAUCUGCAUUCAGUACAAGCGGUAGAGUUCUAUGUGACCAUCGUUGUAGUCUUACUCCAGAAAUGUUAGAAACUCUAAUGUGCUCACAAGAUUGGAUACGGAACAAAUAUAAAGAUGGCAACAAUGCAAACUCACCAAGUUUCUGGACUUGA